rnacentral:rRNA from 1 species
GACGAACGCUGGCGGCGUGCCUAACACAUGCCAGUCGAGCGAGAAGUCCCUGCUUUUGUGGGGUGCUCGAGUGGCGAACUGGUGAGGAACCCUUGAGUAACCUGCCCUUGACUUUGAGAGAACUUCAGGAAACUGGGGCUCAUACCGGAAAGGAGCUCCUGCUGAAGGGUGGGGGUGGGAUAGUUUCGGUGGUUGGGGAUGGACUCGCGGCUUAUCAGCUUGGUGGUGGGGUAGUGUCUUACCAAGGAUUGCACGGGUAGCCGGCCUGAGAGGGUGACCGGCCACAUUGGAACUGAGAUACGGCCCAGACUCCUACGUGAGGGAGCAGUGGGGAGUAUUGCACAAUGGGCGGGAGACUGACGCAGCAACGCCGCGUGCGGGAUGACGGCAGGCGGGUUGGAAGCAGCUUUCGCCUGUGACGGAGGGUGAUUGACGGAAUGGGUAAAGAAGCACCGGCUAACUACGUG